CCUUCGAUAGCUCAGUUGGAAGAGCGUGGGACUGUAAUGGCUUAGUUAUCCCGAGGUCGCUGGUUCGAUCCCGGCUCGAAGGA
rnacentral:tRNA from 1 species